AGUGAACGCUGGCGGUAGGCCUAACACAUGCAAGUCGAACGGCAGCACAGUAAGAGCUUGCUCUUACGGGUGGCGAGUGGCGGACGGGUGAGGAAUACAUCGGAAUCUACUUUUUCGUGGGGGAUAACGUAGGGAAACUUACGCUAAUACCGCAUACGACCUACGGGUGAAAGCAGGGGAUCUUCGGACCUUGCGCGAUUGAAUGAGCCGAUGUCGGAUUAGCUAGUUGGCGGGGUAAAGGCCCACCAAGGCGACGAUCCGUAGCUGGUCUGAGAGGAUGAUCAGCCACACGGGAACUGAGACACGGUCCAGACUCCUACGGGAGGCAGCAGUGGGGAAUAUUGGACAAUGGGCGCAAGCCUGAUCCAGCCAUACCGCGUGGGUGAAGAAGGCCUUCGGGUUGUAAAGCCCUUUUGUUGGGAAAGAAAAGCAGCAGGUUAAUACCCCGCUGUCCUGACGGUACCCAAAGAAUAAGCACCGGCUAACUUCGUG
rnacentral:rRNA from 1 species